AUUGAACGCUGGCGGCAGGCCUAACACAUGCAAGUCGAACGCGUGGCGGCCUGGUUCUUAAUGUCUGGGAAACUGCCUGAUGGAGGGUGAUAACUACUGGAACCGGUAGCUAAUACCGCAUCCCAUCGGCUGUGCCCAGAUGGGAUUAGCUAGUAGGUGGGGUAAAGGCUCACCUAGGCGACGAUCCCUAGCUGGUCUGAGAGGAUGACCAGCAACACUGGAACUGAGACACGGUCCAGACUCCUACGGGAGGCAGCAGUGGGGAAUAUUGCACAAUGGGCGCAAGCCUGAUGCAGCCAUGCCGCGUGUAUGAAGAAGGCCUUCGGGUUGUAAAGUACUUUCAGCGGGGAGGCGUUACCCGCAGAAGAAGCACCGGCUAACUCCGUGCCAGCAGCCGCGGUAAUUC
rnacentral:rRNA from 1 species